rnacentral:lncRNA from 1 species
GAACAUUCUUCUUUACUUCUCAGCUCAAUGGUGCCCUCCAUGUCGUGCCUUUUUACCCAAGCUAAUUGAAGCAUACCACACAAUUAAAAGAAAAGACAAUGCAUUUGAGGUGAUCUUCAUCUCAAGUGACAGCGAUCAAUCCACCUUUGACGAGUUCUAUUCAGAAAUGCCUUGGUUAGCCCUUCCAUUUGGUGAUGAAAGGAAACAAAUCCUGAGUCGGAAAUUCAAAAUUCAAGGCAUUCCUGCAGCUGUAGCGAUUGGCCCAAGUGGCCGGACCAUUACCAAGGAAGCUCGGAUGCACCUGACAGCUUACGGGGCAGAUGCUUUUCCAUUUACCGAGGAACAUCUAAAGCAAUUGGAGGAGGAGAUUGAGGAAAAGGCAAAGGGGUGGCCAGAGAAAGUGAAACACGAACUUCAUACUGAGCAUGAGCUGUUACGUACUAAACGCAAAACAUAUAUUUGCGAUGGCUGUGGGGAAACAGGAAAUAGUUGGUCUUUCCAUUGCAAAGAAUGUGACUUUGAUCUUCACCCCAAGUGUGCUUUGAAGGAAGAUGAAGAUACUGGAAGUGAAAAGGGAAAUGAAGGAUGGAACUGCGAUGGAGAUGUGUGCCGCCGAGCCUAAGCAGGCAAGCGCUCCUUGUAUCUGGUUUUUUGGGCUUUCUGCUGUAAUAAGCGUGCGAUGUAAGGUGUUUGUUGCAUGUGUGUGAAGAUGUGGAUGUCUUUCCUGUUAUUGAUAUGUAAUUAAGAGGUGUGUUGCUUAAGGAUUUUCAUGUCCUGUAUUUCGAUACGAAGAAUAAAUAACCGGAUUGGCUAGGUUUAUGUGAAUCCUGUGACCCAUUUGAAACUUGGGAAUCCAUGGUUGCUUGUUGUUCUCAAAUCUCCAUCACUUGUUAUGAGGUUUUCGUCAUUCGUAGAGGAAAAUGCUUAUCAGUCCUGUCUAAAAAUUGGUUCCAUUGCGCCACUCUCUUUAUUCUUUUUGGCUGGAUGAAGCAGCAGCAGCUUCACCUCCGGUGCAAAUAUUCCUGUAAUUGUUUUGCAGAUUAAAAAAAAAGAGGGCUGAUUGUGACUUAACCAACAUUAUACUAUGAAACCUUUCUUAACUGAUGUGUACUUGACAAUGAAAUCGAGCAUGUGGAAAUUGACAAAUAAAAAAUAAUAUUAUUAUAAUAUAUUUUUAAAUAAAAAAUAUUUUAAAAAAUCCAUCAACAAUAAGCAAAGGACGGAUAGGAUUAAUGGCUAGCCAGGAGAAGUUAGCAAAAGCCAACAACUGUACCCAGACUGCUGACUCCUCCCCUCACAUGCCAAGAAAAGAUUCCCAUAAAUUUAAUGCUUUCCUUCUUGAUUCGCUUGAAAUCAUAUUAUUUGAUCCGUAAAGUAUAAUUAGUAACCCUUCGUCUCAUCAGUAAGGGACGGCAGCCCAAGCUUUCUUAUUAUCUUAUAGAAUCUUUUUUGAUGUGUAUGAAUUAAUAUUUUUUUUUUUAUAUAUAAUUCCAUGGAUAAGAUCGAAGUUUAGAAUAUACUGCCUAUCACGACAGCAUCAAAAUUUGUAGACCCACCACCUCUCAAUGGCCCCACCAGGUUGAUAAGAAAAAUUCUAAACAAAGAAUUCGACUUCAUGAUUUUCAUGAGUUUGUAUUUUAUAAAAUGCUUCUAUUCUCCAUAUUCGAAUCACAAAUUUAAAAAAUUAAACUGAUUGAUUUAGUUUUUUUUACAAUUAAUAUUUUUAUUUUAUUUUUUUAUAGAAUUAUCUUGAUUUUAUGUAUUAAGUCAUGAGUUUUUUAGUUUGAUCCAAGUUGCCUACAACCAAUUUUUUUUCUUCAAUUUAUUUGUUAUUGUUAUUUUUUUAAUUAUAUUAUUAAAUUAAUUAAGAUUAUUGAAUCCAAUAUUAAAUGACUAAGCAUUUUUUGCGAUGAAAAAAAUAAUAAUCCUGCUCUUGACGUGGCUACCAAUCUAAUGGUCAUUAAAACUCAAAUUUCCAUCAUCAUGGUUUUAAAAAAAACCAAACCUUUUUUUUGGCCGAGGAAAGUUAGUUACUUUUGUGUUUAUUCCCUUCAAUUUUUAAAGAACAUGAAACUAUUAACUAGUUGACCCGCGCUGUGUUAUGCAUCGAGUUGAAAAUUUUCAACAUAAAAAAGAAUAUACAUACAUUGCAAUGUGUUUUGUAAUAGAAGAAAUGAUAAUUGUGAACUCCAGGCUCAAAGCACUCGUCUAAUAAUUGUUAUGCAUCUCUUUGUUUCGAUUUGGCUGGAUGAAGAAACUUCACCUUUGGAGCAAAUAUUCCUGUAAUUGUAGUCACCCUUCUUCUCUUGUUAUUGUGAAUCUCAUCCUUAGUAAAGGGAUGUAAGCCCAAGCUGCGCGGAUAUAUAGCGCUGUUUGGAGUAGCUUUCUAAACUGAGUUUUUUUUAAAAAUAUGAAUUGAUUUUUCUAUUUUUUUUAUUUUUUAAUCAUUUUAAAUUUUAAUAUUAAAAAUAAUUUAUAAAAAAUAAAAAAUAAAAAAAAUAUUAUUUUCAUAUAUUUAUAUAUAAAAAAUACUUUAAAAAUAAUCUCCACAAUAAUCCUAUACACACGCUAUAGUUUGAUAACUAUUAUAUUGGCCCAUGUUCCGCAACGAGUCAAUAAUAAAUUUUUUUUUAUCAAAUGUAGAUAAUAUUUUAAGUGUCUUAGGGUCUGACAAAAAGACUUACAGCUUCUAGCCCUUACUGAUUAGCCGGACCCAAUGCUGAUAAAUCCAAUUGGCAACAGAACCCAUCGCUGAUUGGUCUAGCUAUGCCAGACCCAAAGCUUUUGGGUCCUGUUGGGUGCAAAACCCAACGCUGAUAAAUCCAACUGGCAAUAGAACCCAUUGUUGAUGGGUCUAGCUACGCCAGACCCAAAGCUUUUGGGUCCUGCUGAGUGCAGGACCCAACACUGAUGGGUGUUGGGUCCUGCUGGCAGCAAAUACAAACCCUAUUGGGUGUAAAGUUGGUAGUAGGACCCAACCCAAUUGGAUGCAAAGUUGGUUGUAGCUAUAGAGCCACACCUAAUAACUAUGGGUAUGGUUGUGCAACCAUAUCCAAUAUCUUUGGGUCUGGCUACAGAGCCGCACCAAAAGCCUACUUGUAGUUUUUUUCUUGGCAGAGAUAAUUAAUAAUAAUAAUUUAUUUUACUUUUCAAAUUAAAUUUAUAUAUUUUUUUAAAUAGAAAUAAAAUUCAUUGCAAAUUUAAUAUAUUCAUGAAUUUAAUAAAAUUUAUAAUAUUAUUAAAUUUGUUUGGCCUAAGUUUUUAUAGUUUUUAACCCUUUCAAAUAAAAUUUAUUAUUUUUCUUUGAUAGUAAUAAUAUUGUUUUUCAAAUUCAUUAAUGAUAAUAAUAAUAAUAAUUUUUAAUUUUACUCUUCAAAUCAAAUAUAUGGUUGUUUUUCAAUAUUAAUGAUAUUUUUUUCAAAUUUAUUAAUUAUUAUAUUAAUAAUAUUAACUAUAAUAAAAAUAAUAAUAUUUAUAAUACAAAUAAUAAUAUUAAACUUGUUUGAUUCAAGUUUUUAUAUUUUUUAAUCUCUUCAAAUAAAAUUUAUGGUUUUUCUUCAAUAGUGAUAAUUUUUUUCUUUGAAUUUAUUAAUGAUACAAAUAACAAUAAAAAUAAUAUAAUAAUAAUAAUAUUUCCUCUUUACCCUUCGAGAAAAAAAAUAAGAUAAAAAAAAACACAUUAUAAUAUUGAGUCCUGCUAGUGGCAGGACCAACGCUUUUUGAUGGGCCUUGAUUGCCGCAGAACCGAAAGAUAAUGGGUCUUACAUGACCCAAUACCGAUGGGACCUGGAGGACCCAACGUCAUAGGAUCUUGCUGGCAACAAGACCUCAUGCCAUCGGGUCCAGGUGGUAGCAUGACCUAUCAGCCAAGACGUAAUGUUUGACUUACAAACAACAAAGAUAAUGCAUUUUAAUAUAGUAAAUAAAAAUAUAAUAUAUAAUAAGUAUAAUGUUUUAGAAAUAAUACAAAAUUAUGAAAAUAAUAUUAAUUUGAAGUAAAAAAAAUAAAUAAAUAAAAUUUAAAUUUCUCGGGUCUCGGCUCUUAGCCAAACACAAUCUGAAUAUAUACUUUUUAAGAAAAUAUUAAUAAUAAUAUAUAACUUGUCUGGCUCAAGUUCAUAUAUUUUUUAAUCUAUUCAAAAAAUAAUUAUGGUUUUUCUUUCAUAGUAAUAAUUUUUUUUAAAACUUUAUUAAUGAUGAUGAUAAUAAUAAUUUUUAUGUUUACAAUUCAAAUCAAAUCUAUUGUUGUUUUUCAAUAUUAAAUUUGUUUUUCAAAUUUGUUAAUUACUAUAUUAAUAAUAUUAAUUAUAAUAAAAAUAAGAAUAAUUUUAAUAUUAACAAUAUUAAUUAUAAUAAAAAUAACAACAUUUAUAAUACAAAUAAUAAUAUUUUUAAUAUUUAUAACAAUAUUAAACUUAUCAAAGAGUAAGUGGGUCUGAUUGCAACAUCAGGUCCAAGAGCUUUGCUCCCCUUAUAAAUGUCAGACCCAAGAGUAUUGGAUUUGGUUGCAAUCCGAACCUAUUAAAGCUGCAGCAUCAUUAAGUCAUGCUUGACAUAAUGAACCAACAACUAGGUACCCAUUGUGACCCAACAUCAUUGGGUCAUGCUUAACAGAAGGACCCAAUAGUGUUGGGUCCAGCUAGGCAGUUGAGUCUGGUAGCAGGGCCCACCGUUGCUGGGUCCUAGUUGCAGCAUGUUCCAACUUUAGUGGAUCCUGCUUGCAAGAGCAUUGGGUUGUCUAAAAAGAAAGACCCUUGAGCUUGGGGCCUGUCCUUUCAGCCAAACCCAAGCUUGGCUUCGAACGCCCGACACAAGUAUCUUGAGUCCGGUGCAACUGCAAGACCCAAGAGACUUGGAUCUGCGCUCCUACCUCUCCCAAGCAACUUCAAUCCAGUGUCCCUUUCCGGCCCCAAGUUUCUCGGGUCUGGAAGGGGAUGUCAAACCCAAGUUAAUAAUAAUAGUAAUAAUUUUUAAUUUUAAUCUUCAAAUCAAAUCUAUGGUUGUUUUUCAAUAUUAAUGAUAUUUUUUUCAAAUUUAUUAAUUAUUAUAUUAAUAAUAUUACUUGUAAUAAAAAUAAUAAUAUUAAUAAUAAUUUUAAACUUGUCUAACCCAAGUUUUUAUUUUUUUAAUCUCUUCAAAUAAAAUUUGUGGUUUUUAUUUUAUUGUAAUAAUUUUUUUUCUUUGAAUUUAUUAAUGAUAAAAAUAACAAUAAAAAUAAUAUAAUAAUAUACUAAUAAUAUUUUCUCUUUACCGUGUGAAAAAAAGAGAGAGAAAAAGAUAACACAUUAUAGUAUUGGCCUUUUCGUUCUUGCUGGGGGUAGGACCUAAUGUUUUUUUAGGGGUCUUGCUAGCCGCAAGACCCGAAGCUUAUGGGACUUGCAAGACCAAUAUUGAUGGGUCCUGGACGAUGGCCCACCGCUGCUGGGUAGCAGGGCCCAACAUCAUUGCGUCAUGCUUGGCAAAAAAACCUAGCAACGGUAGGUCCUACUCGUAGGCAGGGCCCACUGCUGUCAUGAGUUUGGUGACACAGACAAACCCAAUCUUAGCAUAAAUGUUUUAAAAAUAAUAUUUUAUGUUGUCAAUUUUUUUUUUGGAGAGCAACUUUUUAGAUUUCAUUUACUUUUUUUGUUAUCAAUUUGGAUGAAUUGAAGCAUUGUUGCUGAAACCAUCAAGCAACAUCAUGAAUUAUAUAUGCCAAUUAGGCCUUUUAAAAAGUUAGGAGCUAAUAAGGUUGAAGAAACAUUCAAUGGUUAUUUCAAGAUAUUUAAGCCUUAUUUCCUACAAGACUUACGGAUUCAACUUAUUUUCCUACUUACACGCGGAUUGGGCUUUAAAUUUUCUUGAUGAUUAUAAAAUCCUUAUUUUAUAUGGAGUUAAAAUAUAAUAGCAAUUAGAUAUUGAUAAAGCCUUACGAUAAAGAUUAAAAACUACUAUACAAUAAUUGCAUUAGUUUUCCAGUUAAUUUAGAAUUUUAUUUCAUUUUAUUUAGAAUUAUUUUGUUAUUUUUUUAGCAUUUCUCAUUUUACCUAGUAUAAAUAUUGUUAUUUAACUUAUAUUUAGUUUUUUUUUAAUAAUUUGAGACGGAUUGAUUAUUUAGAAUAUUAUUGUAUGUGAAAGAGUUUACUCAUAUUCUUGAUUCCUCAUGGAACUUUUUCAAAAACUUAUCAAAGAUCAACUCUUUUUAUGACAUCCAUCCUUAUACCUACAGUUCGUAGUUUGUUAUAAUCAACGGGUUGGGGUCUUAUCCAUAUACCUAUAUUUUUCAGUUUAUUACAAUCAACGGGUUGAGGUUUUAUCCUUUGAAACUUUUUCAAAAACUUAUCAAAGAUCAACUCUUUUUAUGAUAUCCAUCCUUAUACCUACAGUUCUUAGUUUGUUAUAAUCAACGGGUUGGAGUUUUAUCCAUAUACCUACAUUUUUCAGUUUAUUACAAUCAACGGGUUGAGGUUUUAUCCUUAUACCUUUAAUUAGUGGUUCAUUAUAAUCAUUAGGUUAAGUUUUUUCAUCCAAUAACUAUGAUUAUGUAGUUUAGAUAAUCACUAGGUUAGGUUCUUUUCAACUUGAUUUUAGCUUUUUUUUAUUGUUUUUUUUCUUACAUAAGGGUUUUCCUCUCUAAAUUCACAACAACAAUGUAUGUUUAUGUUGAAGUAGAAAUUCAUAUAAUUAUUUAUGGGCAUGAAAAGCCUUUGUAAUAAAACAACUUAAACCUAUUAUGAAAAAAUUCAAAACAAAUCUUGAAAAACCUAAAAAUAGUAAAAAUAACUUAGAUCUAUUGUAAUAAAAACCUAAAAAGCGAGGCCCAUAAGUAAUGUUGAUUUGAACAAGUUUUGAAACAAAAAAGAUUGAACAAGUCAAUCCAAUAGCUUUGAACUGAUUUUGGUUUCAAAACCUUAAAAAACUAAUUUUUUAUUAAAUUGUUUUUUUUUCUAGAAUCAAACUGAAUAAAAAAAACCUUACUGUCAACUCAAAAAACUCAUAACUGGUUUUAAAACAUAAAAUUUAACUUGAAAAAAAAACUUUUCCAGCCCUAAUUUAACCUAAUUUAAUUAGGUCACAGUUGGAUAAUGAAUUUGAAUGUUUUAAAUGGAACAAUUAAGUAAAACUCAAAUCCAACUUAUUUUAUUACCUUCCAUUGAUUAUUAUUAAAUGAGAAAUUCAAACAUGCUUGGUGUGUUUAGCAAAGGAGAAUGACAGAGUUGUACUAUGUACUUUUAAGUGUGGAAAAGUUACAACUCAUAGAAGACCGUUUGGUAGCGCGUUUGCACCUGUAUUUUGCCCAAAUUUGAAUUUUUUUUUUUUGUUAAAAUUGAGUUCGGUUUGUACUUUUUGGAUCAUUUUGAUAUGCUGAUGUCAAAAAUAAUUUUAAAAAAAUAAAAAAACAUCAUUGGCAUGUAUUUUGGCACAAAAAACUAUUUGAAAAGCAACCGCUACCACACUACCAAACACGCUAGGCACCCACUUAGUUGAAAAUAAACAAGAAAUUUUUAGUGUGAUCAAAACACAAGAAAUCAUUUAAUUAAGUUUAUAUUUUUCAUUCCAAUGUUUUUUACUAACAAUGCUGAAAUAUUUGAUGAAAGAUUUUCUCAUAAACUAUUUUUCAAUAUGUAUAAAUUCAACAAUAAAAAAUCUUUUUGGAUAAAAAUUAUUUUUGUGUGAAAAAUUAAAUUCUUUAAAGACUUGAUUAUAUAACUCUAAGUUUAGGCAUCUGAACUUAAGUUUACAUCCAAAAAAAUCUAUUUUGCUCUAAUUUGACAUAGUAGAAAAAUCCUUAUAAUAUCAAAUCUUGACAUAUAUAUUAAAUUCACUAAAUUGUUGUUUAAAUUAUGUUUAUUUUUACGUUUUAAAAAUGUUUUUAAAAAAUUUUGAACUUUUUUUAUUUACUUCAAAUUAAUAUGUUUUUGGUGUUUUUAAAUUAUUUUGAUGCACUGAUAUCAAAAUUAAUUUUUAAAAAUUAAAAAAUAUUUUGAAAAACAAUUACAACUACACUCAAAAUCUUUUAACUAGCAACAAUGAAAAUGAAAAGGAUUCCAACUUUGUGGAACGUGAAGAGGAAGGAAUUGCACACGACAAGAGAACAAAAAACAAAUUAUGGUAAUAAGGUUUAGUUUUCAAUCAAAGAAGAGAGACUGCGAUUUUUAGAGAGAGAAAGUAGGAUAAAGAAGAGAGUGUGGGUGUGUGAUCUAUCAUUCAAUUGGUUUUCUCAUAUAUUAUACAUAAAGACAAUUUGGAUAUUUUAUCAUUUUUUUAAUUUUUAUUUGAUAAAGAAUGUAGAGUAUAAUUUCAAAAAGUAAUAGGGUAAAGUGAAAUAUAAUCAAAUCAUAAGAGUAAGAGGAUUUUUUUUGUAAUUAUUUCUUAAUAAAAGAAGAAACCUAUAAUCCAGAUUCUCGAAAAAAAAAAGAAGGUAAAAAGUGAAGAGUGACUGGGUGACCGUAUGAGUCUUUAAAGGAAAAGAAAAAGGGAUAAAAAUACAAUACUAAAAAAAUAAAAAGAGAGAGAAAUGAAAAAAAUGAAUAUGUUUUUUUCUUUUUCUUUUUCUUUUUUAAAUAAAAAAGCGAAAGGAGGUGUGAAAGCACGUAGGAAAGCAUGUUUAAUGCCAGUUUCUCGAACCUACUGGUAUUUAGAUAAUGAGAAUGAUGUUUUUGUCAUCACCAUCGAAAUUUCCAUGUCAUCGUUGACGUAUGAUAAUUCCCUAAGCGUGCUGUGCAAGUAACUUAAAAGGAACCAUCCCAGUUUGUACCAAUAAAUACUAAAUAGCAUUUGGAAUCCGCAAUUGUUCUAGUCUUUUGAGUAGUUCAUCACUUAACAAUGGCCAACGAAGACGUUUCGCACGACCUUUCAUCCCUUCUUUCGUCGGAAGAGAGGGACUUUCUCAUCCGCAACAAUGGUGACCAGGUACUGCUUUUAGCUUAUGGAUUUCUCUGGUCUUAUGCGAUCUACUUCUACUUGUCUUAUUAAACUUGCAGGUUUUUCUCGUAAUUAGGAUGGAUAUCAUGUUUAAAUUAGACUGCGAACCUUGCUCAAGAACAAGUUUAUGACCAAUUUCUAGAGCUUUUAUGAUUCAGAAAAGCCUCAAUUUUUGUUUACCCUCUUGAUUUAUGGGCUAAUUUUUUUUUUUUCUGAUUAUGCUCGACACUAAUUUUUAGGUUACGGUCAGCAAUUUGGUUGGGAAGAUUGUGGGAUUCUAUUUCUCUGGUUCGUGGUGCGGGCCGUGCCGCAAUUUCACUCCGUUGUUGGUAGAAGUCUAUGAACAGCUAUCAUCCAAAGGGGACUUCGAGGUGGUCUUCAUUUCUUCUGACGGAGACGAUGAAUCCUUCAACACAUACUUCUCCGAAAUGCCAUGGCUUGCUAUUCCCUUCUCUGAUACGGAGACCCGCCAACGUCUUCAGGAAUUGUUCAAAGUAAGAGGGAUCCCUAAACUCGUCAUUUUUGAUACUAAUGGUAAGGUUUCCUGCGAUAAUGGAGUCAGACCUGUCAAGGAACAUGGCGUGGAUGGGUAUCCGUUCAACCUUGAUAGACUGAAUUUCCUUAAAGAGCAAGAAGAGAAUGCUAAGAAGAAUCAAACCAUAAGCUCUAUCUUGGUUUCCAGCUCACGUGAUUAUGUGAUUUCAAAUGAUGGAAAAAAGGUAGAUGUUUCAUUCAAUUAGCUAGUUUUGAAAUUGAAUUGAUGAUGCCAUAAUUCACAUUUUUGCUAUCUGUAAUGGCAGAUCCCUGUGUUGGACCUUGAAGGAAAAUUGGUUGGCUUGUAUUUUUCAGCCCAUGCUCAUAGGAUGUGCCGUGAAUUCACUCCUAAACUAGUGGAAUUGUAUAAGACGCUCAAGGAAAAAAGAGAGAACUUUGAAGUAGUCCUAAUAUCUCUAGACGACGAAGAAGAAGACUUCAAAGAGAGUUUUGAGACAAUGCCUUGGUUGGCAUUGCCUUUUAAGGACAAGAGCUGCGAGAAGCUAGCGCGGUAUUUUGAACUUAGAACCAUUCCUAAUCUUGUCAUAAUUGGCCAAGAUGGGAAGACUUUGAACCCAAAUGUAGCUGAACUGAUCGAAGAACAUGGUAUUGAAGCCUACCCAUUUACACCGGAAAAGCUUGACGAGCUAGCUGCAAUUGAAAAGGCAAAACUGGAAUCGCAGACGCUUGAGUCAGUUUUGGUUAAUGGGGAAAAUGAUUUUGUGAUUGACAAAAGUGGCUCCAAGGUAAUUGUUUUUGUUCUAUGCUAACCUCGCAUGUUGUUACCGCAUUACUUUCAAUAACUUUCUUAUGAUCACGAAUUGAAUUCAUUAGCAAAGGUUUUUUUUUUUUUUUUAUCAUUCCAAUGGUUUACUCUUGAUUAGGUCCCAGUGUCUGAACUAGUUGGAAAGAACAUUCUUCUUUACUUCUCAGCUCAAUGGUGCCCUCCAUGUCGUGCCUUUUUACCCAAGCUAAUUGAAGCAUACCACACAAUUAAAAGAAAAGACAAUGCAUUUGAGGUGAUCUUCAUCUCAAGUGACAGAGAUCAAUCCACCUUUGACGAGUUCUAUUCAGAAAUGCCUUGGUUAGCCCUUCCAUUUGGUGAUGGAAGGAAACAAAUCCUGAGUCGGAAAUUCAAAAUUCAAGGCAUUCCUGCAGCUGUAGCGAUUGGCCCAAGUGGCCGGACCAUUACCAAGGAAGCUCGGAUGCACCUGACAGCUUACGGGGCAGAUGCUUUUCCAUUUACCGAGGAACAUCUAAAGCGAUUGGAGGAGGAGCUUGAGGAAAAGGCAAAGGGGUGGCCAGAGAAAGUGAAACACGAACUUCAUACUGAGCAUGAGCUGAUACGUACUAAACGCAGUGCAUAUGGUUGCGAUGGCUGUGGGGAAACGGGAUAUCGGUGGUCUUUCUAUUGCAAUCAAUGUGACUUUGAUCUUCACCCCAAGUGUGCUCUGAAGGAAGAUGAAGAUGCUGGAACUGAAAAGGGAAAGGAAGGAUGGGUCUGCGAUGGAGAUGUGUGCCGCAGAGCUUAAGCAGGCAAGCGCUGCUUGUGUCUGGUUUUAUGGGCUUUCUGCUGUAUUAAGUAUGCAAUGGAAGAUGUUUGUUGCAUGUGUGUGAAUAUAGUGGGGAUGUCUCUCCUGUUAUCGUUAUGUAUCUAAGAUGUGUGAAGCUGAAGGGUUUUCAUGUCCUGUAUUUGGAUACUAAAAAUAAAUAAACAGCUCUGUGUGUUUAUGCGAAUCCUGUGACCCAUUUGGAACUUGGGAAAAUCCAUGGUUGAUGGUUGUUCUCAAAGCUCAAUCACUUGUUAUGAGGUUUUUGUCAUUCCUAAACGAAAAUGCUGUGCAUGAUGCCAUUGUGCCGCUCUCUUUGUUUCUAUUUGGCUGGGUGAAGAAACAGCCUCACCUCUGGAGCAAAUAUUCCUGUUAUUGUAUUGCUGAUUAAAUACAAAAACUGGGCUGAUUGUGACUUAACCAACAUUAUACAAUGAAACCAUUGUAACUCCACCGUAAAAGAAACAAGAAUUUCCAAUCCAAGCAACUGGAUAGUCAUUUCCCCCCCUCGUUGCCUUCUCACAUUACUUGUUGAGACGGAUUUCAGAAUCAAGAAAGCAGCAUUAAUUCGAACUCAGAACUAAGAAAGACAAAUGAAAUCCCAGCAGGUGGAAACUGGGUUCAUGGCAGUUAUUUGGAGGGUGGACACCUGCGUUUGUUGAUGAACAUGUCUGCAAUCAAUGAAAACCAGAACCACGGGCAGGCUAUUGCCUGUAUCAGUUCAUGGGACGCAAAGGACAGAUAGGAUUAGUGGUGAGCUUGGAGAAGUUAGCAAAGCCAACAACUACACCUCGCAGAACAGGAAAAGAUUUCCGUAAAUUUAAUGCUUUUCUACAAGAAUGUUUGGUUGCCUAUUUUUAAAAAAAAAAAAUUAUAUAAAUAACUUCUGGGUUGGCAUAGACACCUCAGGUUUUGGCACAGCUGCAAAAAACAAGUUGGAACUCUUACAUCCCUAUUGGUAGGUGAUGGAUUAUAAAUAAGGUUUAGUUUUGGUACUUUGACAUCCCUCGUGGACAAAACGAUUCUGAAUGGUUGAUAAUUUGGAAUGAAAGAUUUUCAGUACAAUUAUCAACACUCAACAAACUAGUAAUACCCUAUUAAUUCAUAACUAACUUGGAAAAAAAAAUUAAAUAUAAAAUUAUUGGAUCAAUCUGUAUAUUUUUUAUAUUAAAACAAUAACGUUUUAUUUUAUUUUUAUUUAAUCUUUACAGGAUAAUCACUCAGUUGAUUUAACCAUGUUAUUAAAAGAAUUUAAUUAAUAUAUUAUUUGAUUUAAUUAAAAUCUCAAAAAUUAUUAUACUUGAUAUCUUAAGUUUUUGAGACCAAUGAUUUCUACAUAGUGGUACAAUUAGCAUACUCUGCUCAUUGCAUUACAACAACAUUUUAAAAAUAAAAUGUUAAAAUUAAGAAUAAUUAAUUUUGAAAUUUUAUGUGAACAAUAAUUGUGUGGGGGUGUCAAUAGCAUCAUAUUUGUUUCCUGAAGUAAAUUAUAAUUGAAUCCUCAUAUUUUCCAUAAACCAAUAUGUUAGCCCUUCUGUUUUUUAAAAAACUAAAAGGCUACUCAAUUGAGAAGCUUCGACCGUCAAGCCGUUAUUAGAUAUUCUUUUAUACUAAUACCUAAAGUAACGGUUUAGCACUUUUAUAAUGUAAAACUAAAGGAAGAACUAAGGAGGUAAAAUAUGGCUUCUUUUAAAUAAAGGGAGUGAGCUAUUAAUUUCUUAAAACUAUAGGGACUACGUUAUAAUUUGAUCAAUUUGUUAUGAUGAAUUUAAAGUGCCACACGUGAUUUUUUUUUUUAAUUAAUGUGGGUGUCCGGACCAGCUUGCGCACACCUUAACUAAUCCAACGGGUCCUGAAAUUAACGACCAUGUAAGCCUACAGUUAUCAUCAUAUGAGCAACUACAGGGCUCCUGAGAUCACAAAGGGAAUAAACCUUUUAGUCCCAAGCUCUUAUAACUAGGACACUUUCUAGAUGGUUGUCACACGUUAUUUAAUUCUACAUGGUUUGGUUUUGUGUUUGCCAAUUAAUGAUCAUCAUGUUUCAUGAUGUGACAAAUAGAUUAAAAAUAUGAUGAAUGGAGCCAAACAUUAUUGGUUUUAAAUUUAAAAUUUUUUUAGUGUGUUUGAAUUUUUUUAAUAUAUUAAAUUUAAAAAUAAAUUUUUAAAAAUUAAUAUAUAUAUUUGAGUAAAAAUUAUUUUAAAACUCAACCUCUAUUAUAUUUUUAAACAUACCCUAUCAUUAGUAGUUGAGUCUUACCCUUAAUGUUUUCCAUGGAAUCUAUUAUUAUAGUCUUACAGCGUAUGUGCAAAGAUAAGGAAUAUCAUGAUAGGCAGUAAAAAAAAAAAAAAAAAAACUCUUACUAAUAUUAUAAAAACUAUGUUAUAAUUUUAUCUGAAAAUAAAAUAAAAAUUAAAUGAUAUCUAAUAAAAUAAUAUCUCAUAUAUAUUCUUAAUAACUUAAGUAUCUACUAAAAUAACAGCCUUGAUGUGUUUUUAAAUAAUUAAUUUUAACGAAAUAAAACUAAAACUCAAGGAUAAAAAUUCAAAAAUAAAAAUUCAAAUAAAAUAAAAACAAGCCAUGUUUGUGGGGCCAGGUGACUCCGCAUGCUUAUCCAAAAUGAAAGAGCCAUUUUAUUUUUUCUUUGAUAAAUGACAUAUCAUUUAUCCUUUUGAUUUUUAAAGUAAAACAAAUGACACAUGAUUGGUUACUCAAUUUUUUUUUGUCAUGGAGAAGUGGUUGAAGAAUUGGGUUAGAGUUUUUUUUUUUAUCUAAAAUUAUAUAUUUUUUAAUUUGUUUUUAUCUAUUGUCUCUAAACUAGUCCAUCAUCUAAAAAAAAAACCCUAAAAUAAUUUUAAAAUACAAAGUUUAACCUAAAAGCAAUUCUCUCAACCUCGAUUUAUCUUUUUUUGGCAAUAUAAAGCUAAAAACACAUUAUGGUAGCAUUCUUCUUGUCAAGAAGAAUACAUUGACACACAUUUUAGCUAUUUUUGCAAACAAAACCUUGUCAAUGUAUGUAUUUCUUCUCCUUUGUUAUUUUCAAUGAAUGUUUUUUUUUUUCUAAAACUCAAAACUAAAAUGUGAUUAAAAUAAAGUUUUAGAUCAAAACAUAAAUUUUUAAAGUAAAAUAGCGUGAAAUGAACAUUUCUCAAAUAAAAAAACCAUAAAUUCUUGCUACUUGUUAAUUUUGGCUCCCCAAGUCCUUAAUUUUUAUAUACAAUAAAAUAGGAUUCUAUUUUGUAAAAUCAAACAUAACUCUAAUGUAAAGACAUUUAAUUUUCCAAAAAAAAAAUUAUAGAAAACCAACCAAUAAGUCAAAUCCUCCAUUAAUAAAAUGUCAAAAAUUGAAAAAAUUUAAAAAGUGUUUGGUGACUAUAAUGAAAAAAAUUUCGAAGAAAAAACUAGAACACUAUUUUAAUCUGUGAUGUUUUGAGUUUUUGUCCACAGUGCAACAACACUAAACUAACCACAUCUCUUAGUUUUAUAUUUAAUUUAUUUUUAGAUUUUUAUGAUUCAUAAAUGAGGGAUUAUUUUAUUUUGUUAGCUUAGGUUUUAUUUUUAUAAAAUUAAUUAAAAAAUAGAUUAGGAUAUCUAGUGGAUAACCACAAAUGAAGAAAGUCAUCUACUUAACCGGAUUUAGAGCUCGUUUGUUUCUGAGACAACAUUUACAUUUCUUUUAAACACACUAAUAAUGGUGUUUGAUUACCGAUUGAAAGUAAUACAUAAAUUAUAGACCCCAUCAUUUAUAUGAGGCAGCACCUUAAUUAUAAAAAAUAUUUUUUUUUAUUGAACUUUCUUACAUGAUAGAGUAUUGCAUUUAAAAACUCUUUCUUUCUCCCCUCAAAAUAUAGGGUCUCUUUAUUGAAAUAGAGUCAUGAUGUGGCUCAAAUACACAAUAUAAAUUUAUUUAUAAUUAUUAAAUAUAUGCAAUAUCAUUAUUUUUAAAAUAAAAAAGAAAUCCAGAGUUUUAUUAUUGAAAAACUCCAUUCUUGAAAAUAUAACUAAAAAUUCUAUCAAAGUUUAGAUUUUAACUUGUCUAUUAAAUUGUAUGUAAUUAUUAUCAAGUCAUAUUUUAUAGAAAAUAAACUAGGCUAAAAAUCUAAUCCAAAAUUCUCUCGAUGUCUUUGAGAAUUUAAUUAGCAUAUGAAUUUUAUUGAGGUCUGUGUUAAAUGUUUUUUUUUUUUUCUGAGACUUAAGGAGCUUUGGAUGACUGGAGCUGGAGGUACAUUUUCAUGAUUUAUUUUUCUCAAUAAUUUUUUUUUACAGUCUUGGCCUUCAUCCUUUCCUAAGCUUCCUAUGUAAGAUGCCACGUAUAUAGUUUCUUUGCUCGUUCAUUUCAACUAUGCUUUACAUAUGAUGAUUGAUUUAUAUUAGAAAAAAAAAAUGAUAGAAAAAUUCAUUUCCAAAUGCAGCAAAACCAAAAGAGAAUAAUUUUCUAAUUAAAAAAACUAAUUAAGGAUUUUUUGUAUCAAGAAAUAUAAAGAUUUUAUUAAAGAGAUAAAAAUAAAAAAUAUAUUUAAUAACAAACUCACAAAAAAAUUAUCAAACCAUGGAUAAAACUAAAAAAAAAGGAGAUUAAUAAAAAAAACAUGUUUAAAAAAGAAGAAGCAAGAGGAGAUUUAUAGAAGCAGGUGAUCAUGCGAAUGCCACUUCAUCGGGCCUACGUCAUAAUGUCUUCGUCAUCACCCGUCACCAGCCACGCCUUGAAGCGUCGUUGUCUGAUUAGAAUAAUAAUUUCCUAGGUCGGUCGUGCAGGUAAUUUAAAGGAGCCUUAGCCUGGAAGUUCUAUCACAUAGCAACUGGGAUUGGCAAUUGUUCUAGCCUUUUGAGUAGUUCAUCACAUAGCUAGCUAUGGCCACCGAAGACGUUUCUCUCGACCUUUCAACGCUUCUUUCUUCAGCAGAGAGGGACUUUCUCAUCCGCAACAAUGGUGAUCAGGUACUGCUUCUCUGAUCUUAUUCAAGUCUUCUUCCUGUCUUAUUAUAAGUUGACGUCUUUUAAUUUUUAUAUGAACUUGUAGGUUUUUCUCGUAAUUAAGAUGAAUAUCAUGUUUAAAUUAGACUGGUAGCCUUGCUUAAGAACAAAUUUAUGACCAAUUUCUGAAGCUUUUUAUGAUUAAGAAAAAGCUCCCUUUUUUUUGUUGCUUCUCUCACUGGCAAGAGAAAGAAACCAUGAAUAAAAUUUUGAUUCGUUAAGGGCAGAUGUUUUUUUCUGAUAAUGUUCGAGAUUAAUUUUUAGGUUAAGGUCAGCAAUUUGGUUGGGAAGAUUGUGGGGUUCUACUUCUCUGGUUCGUGGUGCGGCCCAUGCCGUAAUUUCACUCCUUUGUUGGUAGAAGUCUAUGAACAGCUAUCAUCCAAAGGGGACUUUGAGGUGGUCUUCAUUUCUUCUGACAGAGAUGAUGAAUCCUUCAACACAUAUUUCUCCGAAAUGCCAUGGCUUGCUAUUCCCUUCUCUGAUACGGAGACCCGCAAACGUCUUAAGGAAGUGUUCAAAGUAAGAGGGAUCCCUAAUCUUGUCAUAAUUGGCCAAGAUGGGAAGACUUUGAACCCAGAUGUAGUUGAACUCAUCGAAGACCAUGGAAUUGAAGCCUACCAUUUACACCGGAAAAGCUUGAUGAGCUAGCUGCAAUUGAAAAGGCAAAACUGGAAUCGCAGACGCUUGAGUCAGUUUUGGUUAAUGGGGAAAAUGAUUUGUGAUUGACAAAAGUGGAUCCAAGGUAAUUUUUUUUCUGCUAACAUCGCAUGUUGUUAUUGCAUUACUUUCAAUAACUUGCUUAUUAUCUCGAAUUGAAUUCAUUAGCAAAGGAUUUUUAUCAUUCAAAUGGUUUACUCUUGAUUAGGUCCAGUGUCUGAUCUAGUUGGAAAGAACAUUCUUCUUUACUUCAGCUCAAUGGUGCCCUCCAUGUCGUGCCUUUUUACCCAAGCUAAUUGAAGCAUACCACACAAUUAAAAGAAAAGACAAUGCAUUUGAGGUGAUCUUCAUCUCAAGUGACAGAGAUCAAUCCACCUUUGACGAGUUCUAUUCAGAAAUGCCUUGGUUAGCCCUUCCAUUUGGUGAUGGAAGGAAACAAAUCCUGAGUCGGAAAUUCAAAAUUCAAGGCAUUCCUGCAGCUGUAGCGAUUGGCCCAAGUGCCGGACCAUUACCAAGGAAGCUCGGAUGCACCUGACAGCUUACGGGGCAGAUGCUUUUCCAUUUACCGAGGAACAUCUAAAGCAAUUGGAGGAGGAGCUUGAGGAAAAGGCAAAGGGGUGGCCAGAGAAAGUGAAACACGAACUUCAUUCUGAGCAUGAGCUGUUACGUACUAAACGCAAAACAUAUAUUUGCGAUGGCUGUGGGGAAACAGGAAAUAGUUGGUCUUUCCAUUGCAAAGAAUGUGACUUUGAUUUCACCCCAAGUGUGCUUUGAAGGAAGAUGAAGAUACUGGAAGUGAAAAGGGAAAUGAAGGAUGGAACUGCGAUGGAGAUGUGUGCCGCCGAGCCUAAGCAGGCAAGCGCUCCUUGUAUCUGGUUUUAUGGGCUUUCUGCUGUAAUAAGCGUGCGAUGUAAGGUGUUUGUUGCAUGUGUGUGAAGAUGUGGAUGUCUUUCCUGUUAUUGAUAUGUAAUUAAGAGGUGUGUUGCUUAAGGAUUUUCAUGUCCUGUAUCUCGAUACGAAGAAUAAAUAACCUGAUUGGCUAAGUUUAUGUGAAUCCUGUGACCCUUUUGAAACUUGGGAAUCCAUGGUUGCUGGUUGUUCUCAAAUCUCCAUCACUAGUUAUGAGGUUUCGUCAUUCCUAAAUGAAAAUGUUAUGCAUGAUGCCAUUGUGCCGCUCUCUGUGUUUCUAUUUGGCUGAUGAAGAAACAACUUUACCUCUGGAGCAAAUAUUUCGAUACCAAACUGGUUUUGUUUAAACUCUCAACCCAAUUCAAUUAUGAAAGGUUUUUUUUUUUUUGUCUGAGAAUCCCUAAUUUGCUUCCUCUCUCCUGUAGCCACAACCACCCUCUCUUUUCUCUGAAAGAUAUCGAAACUUAGCGGUGAUCUCUUCGCUCUCAAAAUUUCUCGCAACUUUCUCACCUCCCUCUUUGUUGUUGGUCUCUUUUUUAUUUUUGUCUCCUCUCCAUCUCUAGUGUAAUGUAGCCUCUCUUCUCUCUAUUUCUUUCUAUUUUUCUUAGCUUUAUUUAUUGUUAUAGAAUAAUAAAUUAUAACAUGUUUAUUUGUUAUUUGGCAAGGAUUCAAUGUUCACAAUAACUCAGAUGUUUGACAAAGCCGAUUUAUAUUAUUUAGCAGAUUUGAUAAGAUUUAUUGUCUCCUAUAUGUAUUAUUAACUGUGACCUAAUAAUUUACAUGUUAUGUUUCAAAGACACAGAAGUUUGAGGUGUUGGUUCUUAUUUCGUUGCAUGUCAAGCUCAAUAUAUUUCUCCUAACAUGUUUAUUUGUUACUUGGCAUGGAUCAUUUUUUAUGGCUUAUAUUGUCUUUUUUAUGUAGAUGUGAACAAGUUAUUUCAAAGGAAAAAACUAUAUUGACUCCUUAAUUGUGAAAUUGGAAAUUAGGGAGAUAAUUGUUGUGAUAAUUCAUGGGCGAUCAUGUAAGCAAAUGUUAUAGGAAGCUUGCUGAUUUGGAUUUGUAAUAAUACAUGCAUCGAAGUGCUAGAAAGGCCACAUAAUCUUUGCCCUUUCCUAGGCUUCAUGUGCAAGAUCCCGUGUAUAUAAGUUAAUUGUAAGUUCAUUUAAACUAGGCUUUACAAAUGGUGAUUCAUUUGUAUUAAGAAAAAAUGAAAUAAAAAUUCAAUUUCAUAUAUAAUCCAUCACCUAUUUAAUAGUGUGAUGUAAGAGUAAGAGUUCAUCUUGUUUAUGAUCCAUCACCUAUCAAUAGUGAUGUAAGAGUUCCAACUUGUUUUCUACAGCUGUGCCAAAACCUAGGGGGGUCUACGCCAGCCCAGCAGAGUCCUUCCCCCGUCGUAGGUGGUCCAUACGACCAGAGAUAGUAAGUGAUUUCAGAACAUGCCUUUUCGAAAUGUGAUCAAAAUAAAAUUUUGGAUUAAAAUAUAAAAUUUUCAAAGUAAAAUGGUGUGAAAUCAACAUUUCUCAAAUAAAAAAAAACCUUAAAUUAUUGCUAACAAUCAAUUUUGCCCCCUAAAUCUUAAAUUUUUUGUACGCAAUAAAAUACGAUUUAUUUUGUAAAAUCCAAAUAUCACCCUAAUGUAAAAACAUUUAAUUUUUCCCUCACAUAGAAGAUUAUAAAAAAACCAACCAAUAAGUCCAAAUUCUUGAUUAAUAAAAAUGUCAAAAGAUGAAUUUAAAAAAAUUAAUUAUAUUAUAAUGAAAAACAUUCAAAGAAUAGGACUAGAACAUUGUUCCAAUCCAUGAUAUUUUGAAUUUUUUGUCCAUGGUGCAACAAAACUAAACUAACCACAUCUUUUAGUUUUUUAUUUAAUUUAAUUUUAUAGUUUUAUGAUUCAUGAAGGAGGAAUUAAUUUAUUUUUUAGAUUAGGUUUUAUUUUUAUAAAAUUAAUUAAAAAAUAAAUUAGAUAGGAUAUCUAGUUGAUACCCACGAAUAAAGAAAGUCAUAUACUUAACCUGACUUGAUUAAAAAAAUUAACGAAUUUGAACAUUCGAGAGUGGAAAUUCAUUAUCUUCCUUUACUUACAAUUAUGACAAAUUGAAAUACGUCUAGAGUGUUUGAUAAAGGAUGAUGACAUAUAUGUAUAGUGCACUUUUGAGUGUGGGAAAGUCCCGUCUCAUGACAGAGUAUUGCAUUUAAAAUCUCUUUCUUUCUUCCUUGGAAAUAUAGCAGGGGUGAUUAAAAAAAAAUUGAAAAACUAAUUAAAUUAAAAAAAUAAUUUUUUUUGAAAAAACUGAACCGAGAAAAAAUAAAUUAAUUAAUUAAAAUAUUUUUAAAAAUAUCUGGUUUGAUUUUGAUUUUUUAAGUCUAAAACCGAAAAAAUAAACUGAAAUUAAUAAAAAAACCAAACUGAAAAAACUUAAACCAAACCUAUUAAAAAUUACAAAAAAAAACCCCUAAAAAUAAUAUAGUUUUUGGUUUUUAAUAUAGAUGUUUUGAUUUUACCAAAACCAAAACCGAACGAACCAAAUCCGAUCGGAUGGGUUUUGAUUUUUAAAAAAAAAAAAAUACAGUUUGGUUAUUUUUAUAGGUAAAAACCUAACCGAACUAAAAAUAAUCACCCUUGAAAUAUACAAAAAAACAUUUUAUUGAAAUAAAGUGGCUAAAAUACACUAUAUAAUUUUAUUUAUAAUUAUUAAAUAUAUGUAACAUCAUUAUUUUUAAAAUUAAAAGGAGUUGAGAGUUUUACUAUUAAAAAACUUUAUCUUGAUAGAAGGAUAAUAAGGUCUUUAGAAAGUUUGUAUCGUAGCAUACUUAUUAAAUUAUAUGUGAUUACCAUCAUGUCAAAGUAACAUAAAGAUUUUAUUAAAGAGAUAAAAAUACAAAAUAUAUUUAAUAACAAACUCACAAAAACAAAAUAUCAAACCAUGGAUAAAACUAGAAUAAAAACAUAAAAAAAGGAGAUUAAAAAAACAUUAGAAUAUUUUAAACUGAUUAGAAUAUUUUAAAAAAUAUCCAGUUUGAUUUUGAUUUUUUAAGCUUGAAACUAAAAAAUCAAACCCAAAUUAAUAAAAAAAAUAAACCAAAAAAACCGAAACAAAACUCAUUAAAAAUUACAAAAAAAACCCUAAAAACAAUAUAGUUUUUUGUUUUUAAUAUAAAAUAAUCAAACCAAAACCGAAUCAAAUCAAACCCGAAUGGUUGGAUUUUGGUUUUUUUUUUUUGUAUUUUUCAAAAUUUCAAUUUGGUUAUUUUUAUAGGUAAAAACCAAACCAAACUAAAAAUGAUUACUCUAGAAUAUAAAUUUUUUUUUGUAUUGAAAUAGAGUGGCUAAAAUACACUAUAUAAUUUUAUUUUUAAAUAUUAAAUAUAUGUAACAUCAUUAUUUUUAAAAUUAAAAGGAGUUGAGAGUUUUACUAUUAAAAAACUUUAUCUUGAUAGAAGGAUAAUUAAUAAGGUCUCUAAUAAGUUUGGAUCUUAGCCUACUUAUUAAAUUACAUGUGAUUACCAUCGUGUCAAAGUGAAAUAAAGAUUUUAUUAAAGAGAUAAAAAUACAAAAUAUAUUUAAUAACAAAAUCACAAAAAAAUUAUCAAACCAUGGAUAAAACUAGAAUAAAAAUAAAAAUAAAAAGAGAUUAAAAUAAACACCUCUCUGCGCAAGAAAUGAUAUAUUCUGUUAAAGACAAUCCUUCCCGUAGAUUGCUUUGAAUGGGUAAAUCAAUCAUUUGUCUUUGUGGAUCCGACAUUAAUCCUCUUAUACCUACUAAUUGGUGUACUUGAGAUGUAUUUCCCUAGCUCCCGAAAAGGACAUUAUAUGGACUUGAUUAUAGGGUUUUGUCAUUCUAAAAUUCAGAUUCAUUUCUUGUCGCAAAUAUUCACUUGUAGCAUACUAUAUCUUAAUAAAUUGACGUAAUUUUUCUAUCGCGUAUACAUUUUUAUAAUGAUGGUGUUUUUUCAAAAUCAAACUUUGUUGUUCAGCAUCUUGGACUAGCCAUCCUUUUGAAGAUAUUGUUAAAAGAUCAUCAAUUCCUAAUGAAAUAGAUGUAGCAGUGGUAUGUGAAUCCUGUGACCCAUUUGAAACUUGGGAAUCCAUGGUUGAUGGUUGUUAUGAGGUUUUUGUCAUUCCUAAACGAAAACGCUAUGCAUGAUUGCAUUGUGCCGCUCUCUUUGUUUCUAUUUGGCUGGAUGAAGAAACAGCUUCACCUCUGGAACAAAUAUUCCUGUAAUUGUAAUGCUGAUUAAAUACAAAAACUGGGCUGAUUGUGACUUAACCAACAUUAUACAAUGAAACCAUUGUAACUCCACCGUUAAAGAAACAAGAAUUUCCAGUCCAAGCAACUGGAUAGUCAUUUUUACCCCUCUCUGCCUUCUCACAUUACUUGUUGAGACGGAUUUCAGAAUCAAGAAAGCAGCAUUAAUUCGAACUCAGAAGUAAGAAAGACAAAUGAAAUCCCAGCAGGUGGAAACCUGCGUUUGUUGAUGAACAUGUCUGCAAUCAAUUAAACCAGAAACACGAGCAGGCUAUUGCUUGUAUCAGUUCAUGGGACGCAAAGGACGGAUAGGAUUAGUGGUGAGCUUGGAGAAGUUAGCAAAGCCAACAACUACACCUCGCAGAACAGGAAAAGAUUUCCGUAAAUUUAAUGCUUUUCUAUUUGCUUAAUUCUCGUGACACCAUAUUAUUUGAUGCCUCAAAAGAACGAAAAUAUCAUCCGUGUGAUACAUCCAAAAUUCAAGCAAGCACACUGCCAAGAAAUUCAAUUCGGCGACGUUUCAAUCAAGCACGCUGCCAUAAAGUUUGAAGCCAUUGAAAAAACCUUUGGUUCUAUGGUCCAUUAAUUAUGUUCAGCUUAUUUACUCUUUCAUGUUCUCGCAGUUUCUUCUUUUUGCCACGUUCCAUGGCUUCCCACCACUGAAUCUCAUGUGCUUUAAAUUUGCCUUCGCCAUGACAGCCACAAAACCUUAUCGAUUGUUGCAGUCUGAAAACUGUUUGUUAUUGUGGUUACUGUUGUGGUUUUAAGAAAAUUAUUUUGUAAAAAUAUUUUUAGUUGAGGUUGGUUUAGAAAAAUAUAUAUUUGAUUAAAAAUAUGGUUAAAAUUGAGGUUGAACAAAAAGUAGUUUAAUGUGUUUGGUUAAAAAAAUGUUUUUCAAAUUGAGGUUAUAAAAUAAUUAAAAAAUAUUUUUAAUUUAAAUAUUGUAGAUUUAACUACUAUUACUACAUCAUGAAAUAAAUAAUAUUUAUAUCAAAUAUUUUUUAUUAUUCCAUUAAACUAUAUGCAAUGUCAUCACAUACAAAUCUAUCCAACAAUGACUAUAUUUUUCAUGGUUUCUUAAGCACGCAACAACAAAAAUUGGAUUUUUUGUAAUGUCAUCAAGCGAUAUCCUUCUAAUUUUUUCAAUAAAACACAAUUAAAAUAAAAAUAAAAACUGAAUUUUUUUAACUGGGUCAGACCCGGCAGGAACAUAAUUGGAAUUGCGAUUAAAUUUCACAAAUGUUAUGUCAUCAUGCGAUAUUCUUCUAAUUUAUAUAGUGUUAUUAAAUAAUAUUAAAUACUAGUUUUUCGAGUAAAACUAAAUUUUUUAAAAAAAAAAAUUACAAUUUCAUUACGUACAAAAUUCAUUCGACAAGAACUACAGUUUAAUGAUUUUGUGAGCGUGCAAUAAAAUUAGAUAAAAUAUUAUCGGGAAUAAAAUUAAGAUUACAGUAUGAGUAAAUUUAAUUCACCUUUAACUAUUUUUUUAACAAAAAAAAAUAUAUUGUUCAUCUGAAUAGUGCGAGUGAAAUUAAUUAAUUGCACUGGUUUUUCAGGGAAAAAAAAACCCAAACAUUGCAUGUGAACAGUGCAAGUGAAUUAAUUCACUCACACUGGUUUUUUGAAAUUAAAAAAAAAAUUGUUCAUUUUAGUGAACAGUGGAGCCAUGCUCCAUUGUUGAUGUUAAUUUUCAGACGAGCAGCAGCUUCUCAGAAACCUAUUCAGAUGAACAAUAUAUUUUAAAAAAAAUGGAGCAGGUGAAUUAUUUUAAUCUGCUUUUUAAUCUGCUACAGUGCAUGCAAAGCAGGUUUUCAUAGCUUUUCCUUUCCAGUGUUUUAAACGCAAAAAACACGUGGGUCCCAUGCACAGUAAAAUAAUUUUUGUUAUUACCAAACGGCUGCGGACUGCGUUUUAAAUAAAACGCAUCCGCAGCCUCUUAGACAAACACCCUUUAAGUGGGUCCUACAAAAAAAACUAUUUUUUCUUACCUUACCAAACAUUAAUAGUUGUGGUUGCGGGUGAACCUCACCCGUGGCCACAAUACCAAACAUCCACUUACUAUCUCUGGCCAUCUCGUGUAUGGACCCCUCUACGAUGAAGGAAGGGCACUGUUGGGCUCUUCCCUUACAACGGGGGAAGUCGGAAGGACACUGUUGGGCUAGUAUAAACCCUCCAGGUUUUGGCAUAGCUGCAGAAAAAAAUAAUUUAAAAAAAAUAAAAAAAAAAUAUAUUAUUUUAAUAUAUUUUAGUAUGAAAAGCAUUUUGAAAAAUAAUUGUAAUCAUAUUCCCAAACAAAUAUAAAAUUAAAGGAAAAACAAAUAUAAAACUAAAAGAAGAACUAAGUUAUAGUAAAUGGAAAUGAUGACAUGGAGGUAAAAUAUGGCUUCUUUUAAAUAAAGGGAGUGAGCUAUUGAUUUCUUAAAAAUAUAGGGACUACGUUAUAAUUUGAUCAAUUUGUUAUGAUGAAUUUAAAGUGUAACACGUGAUUUCUUUUUUUUUUUUUUUUUUUAUAACUCGAGAUGUCUGGGCUAGUUUAUGCGCAUCACGACUAAUCCCCGGACUCACCGAACAUCCUGCAAGCCCUGUAAGUAGGUAAGGUACCGCGGGGUGACAAGCGUGCACAAGCAAGACUUGAACCCUGGUAUAAAGGAAGAACACAAGGCCCUUCCACUGCUGGGCUACAAGCUCAAGCGUGUAACACAUGAUUUCUAAAUGGUGGUGUUGGUGUUGUGUUUGCCUAUUAAUGAUCAUGAUCAUGAUGUUUCAUGAUGUGACAAAUAUAUUAAAAAUAUGAUGAUUUUGUUUAUAGUUAAAGCCGUGAAAUAUUAUUUGUUUAAAAUUUAUUUUUUUUUAAUGUUUUUAAUUUUUAUUUAAUGUAUUGAUGUUAAAAAUAUUUUUUUAAAAAUUAAUAUAUAUAUAUAUAUAUUAAUAUAUUUUUAUAUAAAACAUAUUUUAAAACUUAACCUCUUUUAUAUUUUUAAACAUACCCUUAGUCAAUUGUCAUUUAGUAGUUGAAUCUUACCCUUAAUGUUUUCCAUGGAAUCUAUUAUUAUUGUCUUUGACAGCGUAUGUGCAAUGAUAAGGAAUAUCACGAUAGGUUGUCAAAAAAACUCUUACUAAUAUUAUGUUAUGUGUAAUUUUAUCUGAAAAUAAAAUAAAAAUUGAAUGAUGCCUAAUAAAAUAAUAUUAUAUAUAUAUAUAUAUAUUCUUAAUAAUUUAAUUAUCUACUAAAAUAACAUCCUUAUGUGUUUUUAAAUAAUUAAUUUUAAUGAAAUAAAAUUAAAACUUGAGGAUAAAAAUUCAAAAAAUAAAUAAAAUAAAAGCUAAACAUAAGCCAUGUUUGUGGGGUCAAGUGACUCAGCAUACUUAUCCAAAACAUGAAAGAGCCAUUUCAUUUUUUCUUUGAUGAAUGACACAUUGGACUUUUAUUAUUUUAUUUUUAAAAUAAAACAGAUUUGCUUACUCAAUUAUUUUUUGUUAUGGAGAAGUGGAAGAGUUAGGUUAGUGUUUUUUUUUUUUUAUCUAAAAUUCUAUUUUUUUAAUAUAUUUUUAUCUAAAAACACCUCAUAAAUACUUUUAAAUUAUCUCUAAACUAAUCCAUCAACUAAAAAGAAACUCUAAAAUAAUUUUAAAAUAUAAAGUUUAACUUAAAAGCAAUUCUCUCAACCUCUAUUUAUCUUUUUUUGGCAAUAUAAAGCUCAAAAACAUUAUGGUAACACUCUUUUUGUAAAGAAAAAUAUAUUGACACACAUAUGAGCUAUUUUCAUAAACAAAAACUUAUUAAUGUAUGUAUUUCUCUCUCCUUUACUAUUUUCAAUGAAUUUUUAUUAUUAUUUUAAAAAUUUCCAGAUUGAAAUGUUAUUAAAAUAGAGUUUUGGAUCAAAACAUAAAUAUUUUGAAAUAAAAUGGUGUGAAAUGAACAUUUCUCAAAUAAAAAAACUUUAAAUUCUUGCUAUAUGUCAAUUUUGACUCUCCAAGUCCUAAAUUUUUAUAUGCAAUAAAAUAGGAUUCUAUUUUGUAAAAUCAAACAUAAGUAUAAUGUAGAGACAUUUAAUUUUCCAAAAAAAAUAAAAAUAAGGAGCCUUAGCCUCGAAGUUCAUCGGACCUACGUCAUAAUGUCUUCGUCAUUACCCGACACCAGCCACGCCUUCAAGUCGUCGUUGACUGAUCAGAAUAAUAAUUUCCUAGGUCGGUCGUGCAGGUAAUUUAAAGGAGCCUUAGCCUGGAAGUUCCAUCACAUAGCAACUGGGAUUGGCAAUUGUUCUAGCCUUUUGAGUAGUUCAUCACAUAGCUAGCUAUGGCCACCGAAGACGUUUCUCUCGACCUUUCAACGCUUCUUUCUUCAGAAGAGAGGGACUUUCUCAUCCGCAACAAUGGUGAUCAGGUACUGCUUCUCUGAUCUUAUUCAAGUCUUCUUCUUGUCUUAUUAUAAGUUGAUGCCUUUUAAUUUUUAUAUGAACUUGUAGGUUUUUCUCGUAAUUAAGACGAAUAUCAUGUUUAAAUUAGACUGCAAGCCUUGCUGAAGAACAAAUUUAUGACCAAUUUCUGAAGCUUUUUAAUGAUUAAGAAAAAGCUCCUUUUUUUGUGUUGCUUUUCUCACUGGCAAGAGAAAGAAACCAUGAAUAAAAUUGUGAUUCGUUAAGGGCUGAUUUUUUUCUGAUAAUGUUCGACAUUAAUUUUUAGGUUAAGGUCACAAUUUGGUUGGGAAGAUUGUGGGUUCUACUUCUCUGGUUCGUGGGCGCCCAUGCCGUAAUUUCACUCCUUUGUUGGUAGAAGUCUAUGAACAGCUAUAUCCAAAGGGACUUUGAGGUCUUCAUUUCUUCUGACAGAGAUGAUGAAUCCUUCAACACAUAUUUCUCCGAAAUGCCUGGCUUGCUAUUCCCUUCUCUGAUACGGAGGCCCGCAAACGUCUUAAGGAAGUGUUCAAAGUAGAGGGAUCCCUAUCUUGUCAUUUUUGAUUGCGAAUGGCAAGGUUCCUGCGAUGAUGGAUCAGCACUGUCAAGGAACAUGGCGUGGAUGGGUAUCCGUUCAACCUUGAUAGACUGAAUUUCCUGAAAGAGCAAGAAGAGAACGCUAAGAAGAAUCAAACAUAAGCUCUAUCUUGGUUUCAAGCUCACGUGAUUAUGUGAUUUCAAAUGAUGGAAAAAAGGUUAGAUGGUUCAUUCAAUUAGCUAGUUUUGAAAUUGAAUUGAUGAUGCCAUCAUUCACUUUUUGCCUUUUUGGCUAUCUGUAAUGGCAGAUCCCUGUGUUGGACCUUGAAGGAAAAUUGGUUGGCUUGUAUUUCUCAAUCCAUGCUCAUAGGAUGUGCCGUGAAUUCACUCCUAAACUAGUGAAUUACAAGCGCUCAAGGAAAAAGAGAGAACUUUGAAGUAGUCCUAAUAUCUCUAGACGAGGAAAAACACUUCAAAGAGAGUUUUGAGACAAUGCCUUGGUUGGCAUUGCCGUUUAAGGACAAGAGCUGCGAGAAGCUAGCGCGGUAUUUUGAACUUAGAACCAUUCCUAAUCUUGUCAUAAUUGGCCAAGAUGGGAAGACUUUGAACCCAAAUGUAGUUGAACUCAUCGAAGACCAUGGAAUUGAAGCCUACCCAUUUACACCGGAAAAGCUUGAGAGCUAGCUGCAAUUGAAAAGGCAAAACUGGAAUCGCAGACGCUUGAGUCAGUUUUGGUUAAUGGGGAAAAUGAUUUUGUGAUUGACAAAAGUGGAUCCAAGGUAAUUUUUUUGUUCUUGCUAACUCGCAUGUUGUUAUUCAUUACUUUCAAUAACUUGCUUAUUAUCUCGAAUUGAAUUCAUUAGCAAAGGUAUUUUUAUCAUUCAAAUGGUUUGCUCUUGAUUAGGUCCCAGUGUCUGAUCUAGUUGGAAAGAACAUUCUUCUUUACUUCUCAGCUCAAUGGUGCCCUCCAUGUCGUGCCUUUUUACCCAAGCUAAUUGAAGCAUACCACACAAUUAAAGAAAAGCAAUGCAUUUGAGGUGAUCUUCAUCUCAAGUGACAGCGAUCAAUCCACCUUUGACGAGUUCUAUUCAGAAAUGCCUUGGUUAGCCCUUCCAUUUGGUGAUGAAGGAAACAAAUCCUGAGUCGGAAAUUCAAAAUUCAAGGCAUUCCUGCAGCUGUAGCGAUUGGCCAAGUGGCCGGACCAUUACCAAGGAAGCUCGGAUGCACCUGACAGCUUACGGGGCAGAUGCUUUUCCAUUUACCGAGGAACAUCUAAAGCAAUUGGAGGAGGAGAUUGAGGAAAAGGCAAAGGGGUGGCCAGAGAAAGUGAAACACGAACUUCAUACUGAGCAUGAGCUGAUACGUACUAAACGCA